GCACUGAAAAAAGUUAUUAAAUUUCAAAGUUCAAAUGCUUGGCAACUGCUCAUAUUUAUGACCAUUCCAGUGUUCCAAGGUCAUGGGAUUUCCUUUUUCGACCUUCUGACAAGCAAAGUCAAUGGGGAAGCCAGAUUCACUUAACAACCAUGUUAC